GCUCUAUAACACUUUCCUUUAAGUUAUAGUUUAAGAAAUAAUUAAGUAUGGAUCCGGAAAAUAAUUUAAAAUUACUGCAAUCGUGUAAUUUAUCACGUCUUUUUAAUCAUUUUGAAGGAUCUUGGCUCGCGCAAAGAUUUAAAAAGCCGAAGCCCGUGCAUCACUCUCUUACACUCUCACAUCAUCAGAAAUUAUAACCUGGGACAUCCACAAUAUUGCGAGCAUCGAGACAAUUUAAAAACACGAGUGUAAUUGGACGAGUUGGGCGCUAUAAGCAGAAUAAAUCUAUUCCUGAAGACCUCCGGUUAGAUAUUUUAUUAGAGCCAUACAAUACUCUUGGAAUUAAUUCCAGAAAAGUUGCAGAAAAGUAUGGUGUUUUAAAGACUACAGUGUGGCAACUUUUUAAAAAGGCUGCUUUUAAGCCUUAUAGAAUUUGUAUUCAUCAAAAAUACCACCCCGGUAAUCAAUUACGAAGAGUUAAUUUCUGUCAAAGAAUGCCAACAAUGAUUGACCGAGAUCGAACGUUAUUACGUCACUUAUUAUUCACGGAUGAGUGCACUUUUCCUUUAGGUCAAAACCCUAAUCGCCAGAAUCAACGGAUAUGGUCUCAAGAACCUCCGCAUAUCAUUCACGAAGGCAAAAGAUAAAUUCAACAAAAAGUUAAUGUGAGGGCUGGUGUUGUUGGUAAUGGAAUCAUCGGGCCUGUGUUUUUUGUUGGAAAUAUGGAAGGAGCAAUGUGUGAAAUGUUACUGCAAGAUACAAUAAUCCCAAUAGUGAAGAAUAUCGAGCAAGACACAGGAGAUAAUAUCUGAUUUCAACAUGAUGGAGCUCCUGCACAUAGAACUAGAAUUGCAACCAAUCUCUUGAAUCGAUCAUUUCCGAACCGAUGGAUCGGUUUAAGAAAUUAGAGAUUUGAAUGGCCACCACGUUUCCCAGACUUAACUAUUUUGGAUUUCUUUGUUUGGGGACGUAUUAAAAACAAUCUAUGGAAAUAUGAGUGCAAUACAGUAGAGCAAUUAAUGGAAGCAAUACUUGAGCUUUGCAACUCCAUAACUCCAGAGAUGCUUGACAAAACUUGGGAAGAUUACUUUGCAAGAGUUCAGUGGUGCAUCAAUGAAAACUGUGGUAUUUUCGAGCUUAAGUACAGAAUAAAUAGAACCGAAAUCUAUUGCCGAGUAUUAUGUAUGUAAGUGAGAGUGAAAAUGGGCUGAUUGUACGUUUAAGAAGCGCACAAAACAAGGACAAUGAAUUUCGUAAGCUUAUAGAGGCCGUAACGUGCAGCUAGACCAGUGGGUAUGUCAUUAGAAAUAAUAUUUUGUACAAAAUCUGUAAAGACGAUUUGUUAAUUGUAGUACCUAAGGCCAUGCAGACUCAGGUUGUCAGGCAGGCACACGAACGUGGCCACUUUGGGGUUGUUAUGUCCGACUUCGCAAACUUUUUCAAACUCAUGUUGAACACUCCUAAGGAAUAAAUAUUCCAUUUUCUCAUAAGAGAAAUCAGGAUGGGUUCAAUUGAGCGAUACAGAACGUCAUACCAGAUUUCUUUCUUCUGUCUUUCAUUCCCUUAUCCUUCUUAAGUUCCCCACUUACUUUUUACAACAAUUAUUCUAAUGCGUGGUAACACCCACAACUAGCAUUGACUUAAAUUGAUUUGCGUCAACGGGACAUCUUAUACGAUGCACCUCACCAGAAAACCCCCUCUUUUCCAAACUCGGACCCCCAUGGUCGCAGCGUUAAAAAUUUUGAAGAGCAAAUUACUCUACCGAGCACCGGCUUGCAUUUCGGUUACCAGUUGAUUAGCUUCAGUGAAGAGUCGCAAUUAGGUACAGCAGUAUUCUUCCAAAAAUCUCUUAAAUAAUUUUAUUCAGGAAAUAAAAUUAUCAAUCAAAUAAAAUAAAUAUAUACACUAUAUAUUUAUAACAAAUAUAGAAAAGAAAACGAAGUAAAGAAAAAGUGAUAUCAGUGAAGAAAAUAAAUAUUAAAAUAUACAGCUUAAAGAAAGCAAUUAAGGAAAUCGCAUAGCGAAGAAAAAAAAAAUUAUAAUACAAAGAAAAAGAAAACUUCCAUAAAUAAUAGUGUUGUCGAUUGUGAGUUAUUGGUUUAGUGCUUAAUAGCAUUGUCCAGUGUAAUUAAAUCGAGAUACUAAAUAUUGUAAUGAAAAGUGAAUACAUGUUCAAACAGAAAAGUCCAAUCCUUUAACAGAGUAUCACCUCUACUUCCGUUCAGGAAAAUUAAAGGAAUAUUAUUCCGGUAAAACAUACAACUAAAAACAUAGAAAAUAGAAAAUCUCAGUGUAUACAAAAAGUGUAAUAAAUGUUCAAAAAUAAAGAUACGAGCCUUUAAAGAGUAUCAUCUCUAAUUUCUUUUAAGAAAAAUAAAGGCAUUUUAUCAUUGCUAAAAAUAAUACUUUCAAAGUAAAAUAAAAAGAAAACCAAAGUGCAAACAAUUUUUGUGUUUGAUUAAUUAAAAAUAAGUUAGUUAGUAUUAACAACCUACCCUCGCUCGAACAUCGCUUGCACGAGAGAGAGAGAGAGAGACGGCAAUCAGUCCAAGGGUCCACAACGAAGAAAUACACUUCAAGGGUCCAAGGGCCCACAACGAAGGAGCCCCCCAGAAUAAAAGUAAUUGAAGAAGAAUUAUCACCGCAAAGGAACGAAAUUUAUAAGUGGCUAUUUUUUUUCUUUUCAACUCGAUAACCAAAUUUCAAUCAGCCUUGACUUAAGCGGAAAUAAGGAAGCCAUAAUUUCAUAACUGUAUGUAUCGGUUAACACAUAUUAUAUACAUAUAAAUAGAAAGUCUCUUGUUUAUUAUUUGUUGGCGCUAUCUGGCUCAUGUGUAAAAUGUUUCCAUUUCCAGAUGGUUAUUGCAAGCCCUAUUUUUGAGAUGUCACAUUAUGACUAAAGUUGCCUAAAUGGCAACGAAAAAAAAAUUAACAUUUUUAUUUUUGAAUUUCAUAUUUCAAGUAUCAUAGAACAUGAUCCUACCACAGUACUAAUGCAAUAGAAUUGGAUAUAAAAGAAAGUCCACAUCGAAACGUAUCCCUAAAUAAAUAAUUACGGCUUGAACUACACAUUUGAGCCGAAAAUUGCAUUGGUUAGUCCGAACGCCUAAUCCACGCAAACCAAAUAUUAAAUAAUUAAUAGUCGGACAUAACAUCAACGACGUCAUCUAGCCGUAUACUCAUCUUGCAUUCACACUUACCUGCGUACACCUAUUCACACUACAUUUAUAAGAGAGUAUCUUUCUAGAAAGCUAUUCCCGGAACUAUGUACUUACUCAUCAUGUUGUUGUCCAAAAUAAUGAGAUGGACCCAACGAUUGCAUCAGAAACCUAUGAAUUUCCCAUCAAAACUAGAGUAUAUAAACUGCCGAAAACCUAACGAAGGCAGUCAAUCGCUAAUCAGAACUAAACUCUGCCAGAUCUCGAGUCGAUCAAAAGUAAUCUCUCCGAAGUUCUACAGAUUUUAACAAAAGUACCGAUUAGUUCUAACGGCUUAAGUCCGAUUAGUACCGCGAAUCAGAGUUAAAAUUUUAAUCGUUGUCCACGUGACGGUCCGCCGCCUAGGCAAUCGGGAUCCUUGACCAAAUACCUAAAUUUUAAACUCGCAAAAAUCACGGUCGAUUCGACCCACCCAAAUCAGGAUCAUCGGUCUCGUGACGGUCUAUAGCCUAGGAAUUCAGAUUCCUAGAUCAUAAUCCUAAAAUCAAAUUCCAAUAUUCGCGUUCGUAUUCGGUAGAUAGGGGAGUGUAUCCGCUUGGCACCCCAGUAGCUCCGAGUCCAAAUAGUGCAGUUAAUUCCACUGAGGUAAAAUCACGACGCCACAGUGCAGUGUUCCGGCGAAUUAAAUAAAAACAAUUUCGCGAUCAUAAAAUUCAAAUUGGUGAAUUGUGAGAGAGUGUGAUCAGCGCAAAUUUGUAAACCACCUUCACCUGAGUGGUAAGUCAAAAUAUAUAUAUAUAUAUAUAUAUUGUUAAAUUCAUAAUAUACCCAAUG